GGGAGGGGAAAGUGGUGAGGGGGAGGGAGGCUGGAGGACGACAGAUUUCCAGCUUCUACGACGCUCUGCCUAAAUUAAAAAGCAACCAAUCGGAACGGCCGGAAGGGGGGCCUCGCGUCCUGAGCCAGUCAUUCCGAGCCUGCCAAUCACCCAGCGGGUAGCCAAUCAGCGGGGGCCCUGGUGCUCGACUUCCUUGUAUUUGGGAAAGUGUGGUGGUGGGUGCGCGCUCGCGGCGGAGGGUAAACAUUCGACAGUCCCCGCUCUGAGAGGGAGGGACAGAGAGCGAACUGUCAGAUCGGAGCGAGAGCGGGCGCCCGAGAGAGGGAGAGAGAGAGAGGGAGGGAGAGGAAAAGUGAGAGAGGGAAAGAGAGCGCGAACGAGGGCGCAGAGCGAGCUCCUGCUGCAACUCUGCUCCAGCACGGCCAGCGCCAGCGCCCGCCGUCGGUGCACUCUACGAGCCGUGCAGCGUGCCCACUGGAGUUGUUGUGUAUCAAGGAUCGAUCCCCUAUAUGCACACACACACCUCCACCUCCACCAAUGCACUCUUCUUCCUCCUCCUUCUCCAGACAACUGCUGGGAAAAAAAUAAAACACCAACCCCAACCGUCAGCAACAAGAUGUCGCAUCAGACUGUGACUGUUGCGAGGAGAAUGAAAAAGGACUCUUGUUUCAGAGGCAACCAAGAGCUCCGGCAAUAGCAACUUCAGAGAAAUGCACCAUCGCAAGAAGUUUUCCUAGGACAGAACAAAACUUGAAACGAGAGGACCAGAGGGGGAGAGCAGGAGCCAGCCUCCCCUCUCCGCACUCGCGAGCAGCCAGCAGCACCACGCCUUCAAGGACGAAAAAGUUUUACUACUCUAAGGGAAAACGAGUGAAAUGUGUUCCUGAGGAGGAGAGGAGAGGAGAGGAGAGAGCGGACAAGAGAAGGAGCGGGCCGGUUGCUGGUCAUCCGUAAUUUGGCUAAGGAAGAAAGGAGCAGCUUCUUUCUUUGUUAUCUCCCGUGAAACCUUCACUUAGCAGGUGGACGGAGCCCCGCGACCGGGCAGAGUCCGGGCUCGCCCGAGGACAGGAGGAGGAGCGGGAGCCCGCGCGUCCCGGGAGAGCGCCCCGAGUGCAGGUCCCCGCCCCGCCCGGCGAGCCCCGCUGGAGCGAGCCCAGCGCGCCGGGGCUGGGGGGCGGCCACGACCCCCCCUGAAGGGGGUGGCCACGGAGCGCACCCCGAGAAGCGAGCCCCCCUCCCCAGAGCGCUGCUCCUGCGGCUGCUGCUGCUGCUGGUGACCAAGGCCGGCCGGCGACCCCCGCGCCC
rnacentral:lncRNA from 1 species